UUAUCUGAGAAUUUGAUCCUGGUUCAGGGUGAACGCUAGCGGCGUGCCUAAGGUAUGCAAGUCGAACGUCCUGUACUGGAGCGCUUGCGCUUUGGUUCAGGAAGUGGCGAACGGCUGAGUAAUACGUAGGAAUCUACCCCCAACUCGGGGAUAAGCCAUCGAAAGGUGGUCUAAUACCCGAUGUGAAGGCAACUUUAAAGAUUUAUCGGUUGGGGAUGAGCCUGCGGCCUAUCAGGUAGUUGGUGGGGUAAUGGCCUACCAAGCCAAUGACGGGUAACUGGUGUUAGCGCACGACCAGUCAGAAGGGCACUGAGACACGGGCCCUACUCCUACGGGAGGCAGCAAUCGGGAAUCUUGUGCAAUGGGCGAAAGCCUGACACAGCGACGCCGCGUGAGGGAUUAAGGCCUUCGGGUUGUAAACCUCGUUAUAAGCACCGGCUAACUACGUGCCAGCAGCAGCGGUCAAACGUAGGGUGCAAGCGUUACCCGGAUUUACUGGGCGUAAAGAGUUCUGUAGGCGGUUAUGUAAGUCAGAGGUUAAAUCCUUCGGCCCAACCGAAGACUCGCUUUUGAUACUACAUGACUGGAGGCAGUUAGGGGAUAGCAGAACGUAUGGUGAAGCGGUGAAAUGCGUUGAUAUCAUACGGAAUACCGAGGGGGAAGCCAGCUAUCUGGGACUGUCCUGACGCUGAGAGACGAAAGCUAGGGUAGCGAAACGGAUUAGAUACCCGUGUAGUCCUAGCCGUAAACGAUGCCUGCUAGAUGCUUGAUUUUUUUGAGUGUCGAAGCUAACGCGGUAAGCAGGCCGCCUGGGGAGUAUGGUCGCAAGGCUAAAACUCAAAGGAAUUGGCGGGUACCCGCACAAGCGGUGGAGCAUGCUCUUUAAUUGGCUGUUAACCCAAGAACCUUACCUGGACUUGACAUUUUUUCCUUAUGCUGUCCCCGAAAGGGGAAAGCUGCUACUUGUUAGCAGGGAUUAAACAGGUGUUGCAUGGCUGUCGUCAGCUCGUACCGUGAGGCGUACCCUUAAGUGGGCUAACGAGCGCAACCCCUACUGCUAGUUGUAUCACUCUAGCGGAACUGCCGUCGCAAGGCGGAGGAGGGUGGGGAUGACGUCAAGUCGGUAUUGCCCUUACGUCCAGGGCGAGAAGCAUGCUACAAUGGCGCGUACAACGAGUUGCAACACGGCGACGUGAAGCUAAUCUCUUAAAACGCGUCUCAGUUCGGAUUGGAGUCUGCAAUUCGACUCCAUGAAGUUGGAAUCGCUAGUAAUCGCUGGUCAGCAAUACAGCGGUGAAUACGUUCUCGGGUAUUGCACACACUGCCCGUCACGUCAGCAAAGCUGGGGCCACCCGAAGUCUCUCUUAAGUGAGGGUCCAAGGUGGAAUCAGUGAUGAGGAUGAAGUCGUAACAAGGUAGCCGUAGGGGAAUCUGCGGCUGGAUCACCUCCUUU
rnacentral:rRNA from 1 species